rnacentral:rRNA from 2 species
AAAUUGAAGAGUUUGAUCAUGGCUCAGAUUGAACGCUGGCGGCAGGCCUAACACAUGCAAGUCGAACGGUAACAGGAAGCAGCUUGCUGCUUCGCUGACGAGUGGCGGACGGGUGAGUAAUGUCUGGGAAACUGCCUGAUGGAGGGGGAUAACUACUGGAAACGGUGGCUAAUACCGCAUAACGUCGCAAGACCAAAGAGGGGGACCUUCGGGCCUCUUGCCAUCAGAUGUGCCCAGAUGGGAUUAGCUUGUUGGUGAGGUAACGGCUCACCAAGGCGACGAUCCCUAGCUGGUCUGAGAGGAUGACCAGCCACACUGGAACUGAGACACGGUCCAGACUCCUACGGGAGGCAGCAGUGGGGAAUAUUGC